GAGGUUGAAGAUGAAAUUGAAAAAAAGCAACAUGAAGAACCUAAGAUUGAAGAAUUUGAAGAUUUGAAUCUUGAACAUACACCUGUUGAAGAGCUUAUUCUAGAACAAGAAAAGCUACUCAAGCCAUGGAAGUUUCAAUGGAGACUGUAGAAAAUCAAGUCGUUCCUAUUGAUUUGAAGAACAUUUCUGUUAUAUAAAUAUUUUUCAAUUAGGAGUAAAACUCCUAUAGGAUAUCCUUGUAAAGGAUUCCUAAUUUAUGUAGAAGUAGAAUUUUAAUCCAUUUAGAAUAGGAUAUGAUUGUGUGUGUGUGUGUGUAUAUA
rnacentral:misc_RNA from 1 species